rnacentral:rRNA from 1 species
UACGGGGGGGGCAAGCGUUGUUCGGAAUUACUGGGCGUAAAGGGCGCGUAGGCGGUUGGAUAAGUCAGCUGUGAAAACCACGGGCUUAACUCGUGGCCUGCAGUUGAGACUGUCUGGCUUGAGUGUGGGAGAGGAGAGUGGAAUUCCUGGUGUAGCGGUGAAAUGCGUAGAUAUCAGGAGGAACACCCAUAGCGAAGGCAGCUCGCUGGGACGGUACUGACGCUGAGGCGCGAAAGCGUGGGGAGCGAACAGG